CCCUGCCAUUUGUACACACCGCCCGUCGCUACUACCGAUUGAGUGUUUUAGUGAGGCCUCGGGACUGGCGCCCGGAGGUUGAAUAAACCUCUUGGUGCCGGGAACUUGGUCAAACUUGAAUACUUAGAGGAAGUAAAAGUCGUAACAAGGUUU
rnacentral:rRNA from 1 species